UGGGGAAUAUUGGACAAUGGGCGCAAGCCUGAUCCAGCAAUGCCGCGUGAGUGAUGAAGGCCUUAGGGUUGUAAAGCUCUUUUACCCGUGAUGAUAAUGACAGUAGCGGGAGAAUAAGCUCCGGCUAACUCCGUGCCAGCAGCCGCGGUAAUACGGAGGGAGCUAGCGUUAUUCGGAAUUACUGGGCGUAAAGCGCACGUAGGCGGCUUUGUAAGUAAGGGGUGAAAGCCUGGAGCUCAACUCCAGAAUUGCCUUUUAGACUGCAUCGCUUGAAUCCAGGAGAGGUGAGUGGAAUUCCGAGUGUAGAGGUGAAAUUCGUAGAUAUUCGGAAGAACACCAGUGGCGAAGGCGGCUCACUGGACUGGUAUUGACGCUGAGGUGCGAAAGCGUGGGGAGCAAACA
rnacentral:rRNA from 1 species